AUGCCUUAAACUAAUGAGUAAGGAAAAUAAUGCUUCAACGUCAUGCCCAAGUCCUCACUGUUAAUACUACACAAAUUUUUGAGGUCAACUUUUUCCCUAAGGUGACUUGCCUACUUUGCAAGAGGCCUGGGAGUCACCAUCUGCCUG
ensembl:snRNA U12 U12 minor spliceosomal RNA